AAAAGAAUCAGUUCUCUCACCAAAACCCCUACGAUUCUUCGCCAUAUGGUUCCUACAGAGAGCACAGUGAAAGAGGACAGAGUUACCUCCUGGACAUACCAAUGGCUUCCAUGAGGCAUGGUUCUGAAUACAGCCAAAAUUCACCAAGAGUAGCUGUCCUAAGUGGAAGUCUAUAUGGAAAUACCCAGGACAAUCUUUCCUUUGAGCCUGAGCCAGAACUGGCGUACAGCUCACCUUCCACCUUCCGUUCACGGGAUUUCCCCUAUACCCUCAGGCUUUCCAAUGCAUCUGAAGUUAGCUUUAUUCAGAGACACGACAGAAGACCAGAUGAUGAGAUCUUCAUGACAUCUUCCAGCCCUUCCGAAACAGACCAAGCAUACAAAGAAGAAGAAAAGUUAAUUGGAAGUCUUGUAAGCAUGCCCACUCGUGAAAGGAUUAAAGCAAUCCAAAAGAUGCCAGAGACCAUGAAAAAAAAGAGAGACAUCAGGUAAAAAUAAGAGUUUUUCUGUUUAGUUGUAUAGGCACUGUAAUUUUG
rnacentral:lncRNA from 1 species